GGACUGUAGCUUAUUGGCAGAGCGCUUGCCUAGUGUGCAUGAGGCACUGGAUUCGAUUCUUAGCACCA
rnacentral:tRNA from 1 species